UCACGCUGUCAGAGGAUGAGUGGGAGGUUGCUUAUUUGUAUUUGGCAUUUGUCUUGAGAAAGCGGGGUGGUCAACCAGAUGGCAACCGCAGGAGCAACAAUAAUAGAGGAAACAGAGGGCAGGUGCAUAUAUCAAAGGAAGACAUCAUGUAUAUUAGUAAAGGGGUGUGAAGGCAGAAGUGCUGAAGUUUGGUCUCGGAGUUCUCCAUUACAAAACAUGGUCCACAUGAAUUGUUGGGUUAGCGAUGGUAAGGGUACAAAAAAAAAAAGAGCAUUCCAGUGCAUGAAGCUUUCGCUAUUGUAGGGUUUAAGGGGGGUAAAUGUGACUGGGGAGAGCAUCAAUAGAGCAAAGUAAUCAUGUCAUAUCCAAAGCAGAAGCUAUGGUAAGGCAAAGCGUGGGUACCUAAACAAUAAAGUUGUAGAUUUAUAUUUAUACAUGGUUCCAUAAUUGAAGUUCAAUGUAUUAGUUGAAUGGAAACUUCUUUUUUUAUCGUCAAA